UACGUAGGGUGCAAGCGUUAAUCGGAAUUACUGGGCGUAAAGCGUGCGCAGGCGGCUAUGCAAGACAGAUGUGAAAUCCCCGGGCUCAACCUGGGAACUGCAUUUGUGACUGCAUGGCUAGAGUACGGUAGAGGGGGAUGGAAUUCCGCGUGCAGCAGUGAAAUGCGUAGAUAUGCGGAGGAACACCAAAAUAGGCGAAGGCAGUUGACUAUUCAGUUUCUGACAUUGAGGCAUGAAAGCGUGGGGAGCAAAACGG
rnacentral:rRNA from 1 species